UACGUAGGGUGCAAGCGUUUGUCCGGAAUUAUUGGGCGUAAAGAGCUCGUAGGCGGUUUGUUGCGUCGGCUGUGAAAUCCCGAGGCUCAACCUCGGGUCUGCAGUCGAUACGAGCAAACUAGAGUGUUGCAGGGGAGACUGGAAUUCCUGGUGUAGCGGUGAAAUGCGCAGAUAUCAGGAGGAACACCGGUGGCGAAGGCGGAUCUCUGGGCCGUAACUGACGCUGAGGAGCGGAAAGCAUGGGGGAGCGAACAGG
rnacentral:rRNA from 1 species